rnacentral:piRNA from 1 species
UAGGAAAUGUUGGUGCUGAGCCUGC